GGUUGCUUGGCCGAGUGGUUAAGGCGACAGUCUUAAGAACUGUUCUCAGUGAUGAGGCGCGAGUUCGAACCUCGCAGCAACCA